rnacentral:tRNA from 2 species
GUCCUGGUGGCGAAGUGGUUAACGCUUCGGUUUGCAAAACCGACAUGCGUGGGUUCGAAUCCCACCCAGGACU